rnacentral:lncRNA from 1 species
AUGGAAAGAAUACCUCAAAUUUUCACCCGUUUGUGUACACGCUCCCCACGGCUUCCAGGGAGUCGGAAUCGCGUCUGGAAGCACGGGCUGGGAGUCACCGAAAUUCCUCAGUGGUUGCCUCAGUCACUCCCGCGGAUCUGCAGACGGAUCAGCUCUUUCGUGAUGUGCCCGGAGCCCUUCAGAAAACGCCAGUCCCCCCUGAUCCCCCGUAAGAACCGGAACAAAACCCGUCCACCUGAGAUGAAUAUUCCUGGACUUCAAAGACAAAAGGACCACGACGAGCUUAACUCCCCCCGGCAGCUGAUGAUCAGCGGGGCUCCAAACGAGGCUGAGCACCACGAGGACCGCCUGAUGGUAACUGGUGUUUGGAGAAGCUGUCACCUGUGACAAAUGGAAGAAAGUGGGCCUCAGCCUCCAUCUGCAGACGGCAGGGGACUGGCUCAGGCCUCAGUCUUGGGAGCCCAGUGCUGAGGGAGGAGCCUCUUCCAGUCCCCCCUCCUUCUCCCGGUGUCCAGGAAGAGAGACGCAAAUGGCUGCUUGGAGCAGGGAAACUAAUGAAAUGCAAAGAAAGAAAUAGUGAAACAGGACUAGGAAAAUAGUCACCUUCUUCUGGUAUAGGAGCCUUAACCAGGCCUGAAUAUCAGCCACACAGUGACAGUGCUCCCACGGAGAGCUGAGUAAGGGAGGAGGUGUGUCGCUACGUGUGUGUCUCUCCAAGUGAGCUUUCUUAUAAAGUGGUAUGGAUGCUCACAUCUUACCUUCUGCCAGCCUGGAAGUCUGUGAUACAGGUGCUGUUACUAGUCUGUUGUUCACAGUGUGAAGGUCAGGCUAAGGGAACUUAGUUGACCUCCACAUUAUCCCUGGGUAGAUGCUUUUCAGCCUCUCUGUGGUGUUGCCCUUUGGUUCAUUUAGCCCUUUAGUAAAACCACGUUUUCAGCCAUCAAAUGCAAACUGUGAGGAAGUGGACUCAAAGAAAUGAAUGAACCUGCUUGUAGCUUUUCACAUCAUUUCAAACUUAGAGAAGUGUGGCAAGAAUAGUAUAAGGAGCUUCCAUAGACCCUUCCCCUGCUGUAGAUUCACGAGUUGUUUACAUUUCUUCCCACAGGAAUAUUUACUAUCUCUGAUUCAUUUGAAAAUAAAUUGGAGACAUCAUGUCCCCUUUGCCCCUAAUUCUUCAGUACACAUUUCCUAAAAACAGAUAUUCUCUUGACCUCAGUGCAAUCAUUAAUAUUAGGAAAUCUGCUGUUGAAACACUAUUAUUAUCUAAUCCAGCACUUAUACUCAAAUUCUAUCAAUUUUCCCAGAAAUACCCUUUACAACCCCCCUCCAGUGUCCAGCCCAGGAUUGUGCAUCCCUGUGGCUGCCCCGACUCGUUGCUUUCUUUGGCCUGGAGCAGACCCUCAAGCUUCUGUCUGAAGCUCCCCAGGAUUAAUUCCACCGGAGGCUGGAGACCUCCUUCUCAGUGCUUCCUGUCAAACAGCACAGGGUUUUCAUCUGCUCCAUCACUGUUGCUGUUGGAUUUCAUUCCUUGAGGAAGGUGUGUCUGUCGGGAUCCCCUACUAUAAAUUUGCUCCAGUUCACUGUGGAAUGAGUGAUUUGUGUCAUUUGGUUUACUUCCCAUUUGGCGAAGGCAGUCUCCAGUGAGCUUCCUUAGAGAGCAUCCUUUGGAGGACAAAGGCUUGAGAUUUUCGAGAAUGGUAUCUUACUCGCCCCUCCUUGAAUUGCUACUUGGAUUAGUUACACAAUCCUAGGUAGAAAAUUGUAUUUGUGGCUUUUGUUUUACUGUCUUCUAAUGUCCUGUGUUGCUAUUGAAAAGCUGCCAUCAUUCCAACUUGUAAAAAUGUGAGACUUUUUUUUCCCUCUGAAAUAUUUGAAGAUUUGUUUUAAAAAGGUAUUCGGUGGGAAGCUUGCCCCCCGUUUUGGUGCUGGGCACUCUCUGGCCUGUUCAGUCUGGAGAAGCUUGCUUCUUGGUGCUUGCAGUUGUACGGUCUUUUUCCUUUAAUAAUUUCUUCUGUAAAGAACAUGUAUAUACGCAAUGGAGUACUACUCAGCCAUAAAAAAAGACAAAUUGGAGUCAUUUGUAAGAAAAUCAAUGCACCUUAAGACCACAGGUUAAAUAUUGUGUGGGUUCUCUUAUACAAUAUGAGAAAUCCAAGGUCUAAAAAUUUAAAGAGCAAAAUAAAAGACAGGUGAUAGGAAACAGGGAGGGAGACCUUUUGGAGACAGAAAGGGGACGAGGGAUGGGGGAGGCAGAGGGGAGAAAAGUAAAAAAGAGU